AGGGGACCCGAGUUGCGUGCCUUGCUGAUCCCAAGGUCUGCUGGUUUUGGCUCUGGCCCAUUCUUGCUCUUCCCUGUUCUGCUUCUCAGAUUCGGUUUGCUCUCACCACUUUUACUGUGCUUUGCACCAUCCUGCCUGUACUUUUGGACUUCAGCUCACGGAAAAGGAGAAGAAGUGAACGGGCAAGUUGAUUCACUUCAGCCAACUGCUAUCCUUCCUGAAUACAGGCAGCAAAGGAACAAGGAUGACCAGAAGGGUGGAGAAUCCACCUAAGCAGCAUCUCAGAUCAGCUCCAUCUUCAGAGGAGAGCCAAGGGAGUCAUUAGGAAAGCGGAACCUUGGCUGUGGCUCACCGUGGCAGCCCCGACUGGAAGGAACAUCCCCAGCAGACUGAAAAGUGAUUCAGAAGAGUGGUGGUCUUGUCAACGUGAGUGGGCUUUAAGGCCCCCAGUCUCAGCUUUCAUAGCCAUAAAAGUAAAUUUGAGGCUGGAGUAGAGGAGGCUGGAGAGAGAAUGAGACAGCUAUACCAGCCCAUUUCAAAGGGACAGGGUCAUGAAAAAAGUAAAUUGAAUUGUGCCUUGUCAGAGCCAGAGUGGAUGCUCAAUAAAUUCCUGAUUUCAGUAUAGAAGCA
rnacentral:lncRNA from 1 species